rnacentral:rRNA from 1 species
GACAGAGGGGGCAAGCGUUGCUCGGAAUUACUGGGCGUAAAGGGCGCGUAGGCGGGAUGGCAAGUCGGUCGUGAAAUCCCUCGGCUCAACCGAGGAACGUCGAUCGAUACUGCUGUUCUUGAGGAUUGCAGAGGAGACUGGAAUUCCCGGUGUAGCGGUGAAAUGUGUAGAGAUCGGGAAGAACACCUAUGGCGAAGGCAGCUCUCUGGGACGGUACUGACGCUGAGACGCGAAAGCGUGGGGAGCGAACAGG